rnacentral:rRNA from 1 species
CCUACGGGUGGCUGCAGUCGAGAAUCAUUCACAAUGGGGGAAACCCUGAUGGUGAGACGCCGCGUGGGGGAAUGAAGGUCUUCGGAUUGUAAACCCCUGUCAUGUGGGAGAAACUUACAAAGAUAGUACCACAAGAGGAAGAGACGGCUAACGCGGUGCGAGCAGCCGCGGUAAUACAGAGGUCUCAAGCGUUGUUCGGAAGCACUGGGCGUAAAGCGUGCGUAGGCUGUUUCGUAAGUCGUGUGUGAAAGGCGCGGGCUCAACCCGCGGAUGGCACAUGAUAGUGCGAGACUAGAGGAAUUGAGGGGAACCGGAAUUCUCGGUGUAGCAGUGAAAUGCGUAGAUAUCGAGAGGAACACUCGUGGCGAAGGCGGGUUCCUGGACAUUAACUGACGCUGAGGCACGAAGGCCAGGGGAGCGAAAGGGAUUAGAUACCCGUGUAGUC